rnacentral:rRNA from 1 species
CAAGCGGAACCAGGGAGCUUGCUCCUGGGUGACGAGCGGCGGACGGGUGAGUAAUGUCUGGGAAACUGCCUGAUGGAGGGGGAUAACUACUGGAAACGGUAGCUAAUACCGCAUAAUGUCGCAAGACCAAAGAGGGGGACCUUCGGGCCUCUUGCCAUCAGAUGUGCCCAGAUGGGAUUAGCUAGUAGGUGGGGUAAUGGCUCACCUAGGCGACGAUCCCUAGCUGGUCUGAGAGGAUGACCAGCCACACUGGAACUGAGACACGGUCCAGACUCCUACGGGAGGCAGCAGUGGGGAAUAUUGCACAAUGGGCGCAAGCCUGAUGCAGCCAUGCCGCGUGUAUGAANAAGGCCUUCGGGUUGUAAAGUACUUUUCANCGAGGAGGAAGGCAUUGUGGUUAAUAACCNCAGUGGAUUGACGUUACUCNCCAAAAAAACACCGGGCUAACUCCGUGCCAACAACCCGCCGGUAAUACGGANGGGUGCAAGCGGUUAAUCGGAAA